CUACGGGUCGCUGCAGCUGAGGAAAUUUUACAAUGCUCGAAAGAGUGAUAGAAUAAACCAGAGUGUUUCUCUAUGAGAAACUUUUGUCUACUGUAAAAAAGUAGACGAAUAAGGACUGGGCAAGACCGGUGCCAGCCGCCGCGGUAAUACCGGCGGUCCAAGUCGCAUCCACAUUUAUUGGGUCUAAAACAUUCGUAGCUUGUUUUGUAAGUCUCUUGUGAAAUCUCAUGUCUCAAGCAUGAGGCGUGCAAGAAAUACUGCAUUGCUAGAGACCGGAAGACGUAAGGAGUAUGGUUGAGGUAGCGGUAAAAUGCGUUAAUCUCAAUUAGACUAACAACGGCGAAGGCACCUUACGAGUACGGAUCUGACAGUGAGGAAUGAAGGCUAGGGUCGCGAAACGGAUUAGAUACCCGCGUAGUC
rnacentral:rRNA from 1 species